rnacentral:rRNA from 1 species
AGUGAACGCUGGCGGUAGGCCUAACACAUGCAAGUCGAACGGCAGCACAGUAAGAGCUUGCUCUUACGGGUGGCGAGUGGCGGACGGGUGAGGAAUACAUCGGAAUCUACUUUUUCGUGGGGGAUAACGUAGGGAAACUUACGCUAAUACCGCAUACGACCUACGGGUGAAAGCAGGGGAUCUUCGGACCUUGCGCGAUUGAAUGAGCCGAUGUCGGAUUAGCUAGUUGGCGGGGUAAAGGCCCACCAAGGCGACGAUCCGUAGCUGGUCUGAGAGGAUGAUCAGCCACACUGGAACUGAGACACGGUCCAGACUCCUGCGGGAGGCAGCAGUGGGGAAUAUUGGACAAUGGGCGCGAGCCUGAUCCAGCCAUACCGCGUGGGUGAAGAAGGCCUUCGGGUUGUAAAGCCCUUUUGUUGGGAGAGAAAAGCAGCAGGUUAAUACCCCGCUGUUCUGACGGUACCCAAAGAAUAAGCACCGGCUAACUUCGUG